CACCCCAGGAGCAGUGCCAACUGCAUGCUUGCCUAGGCAAAUAUGACACUUGGACCUCAAAGUCCUGGCUCCCUCUUACACUUUAGGUUUCUUUCCCUCAGCACGGAGGACUGAACAGUGAUAUUGAGAGACAGACUCUUCCAGCCCUGGGGGGUGCAUGAUGAAUUUGGGAAGUUGAGAGUUCCUGGUUACUUCCUGUAACUGUGCCACUUCUUGCAGCAAGAGAGAAUUACCAGCAGGAGGAUUCUGUUUCCAAAGCACUAAAGCUUAAGCCAUGCCUUGGAUGGCCAGGAGAUCUGGACUUAUGAAUUAUCCAGGAAGUACAGAUAUCCUCUCCAUGUUAGCCAUUUUUGUUGGGUUAGCUCCACUAGGAGGGAUUCUCAGUGGUAAAGAAUGCAAAACCAAAACAAGACUUGACUGGUUCUUCCUUGGCUUUCUUGUCCAUGAUCACCAUGCUCAAGAAGUGGUCCUAGCCUUCUUUGAUCUUCUCCUUCCAAUAUGACUUAAAUAAAUCAAAACCAUAAACUU